rnacentral:rRNA from 1 species
UGGGGAAUUUUGGACAAUGGGCGCAAGCCUGAUCCAGCCAUGCCGCGUGCAGGAUGAAGGCCUUCGGGUUGUAAACUGCUUUUGUACGGAACGAAAAGGUUCUUUCUAAUAAAGAGAGCUCAUGACGGUACCGUAAGAAUAAGCACCGGCUAACUACGUGCCAGCAGCCGCGGUAAUACGUAGGGUGCAAGCGUUAAUCGGAAUUACUGGGCGUAAAGCGUGCGCAGGCGGUGAUGUAAGACAGUUGUGAAAUCCCCGGGCUCAACCUGGGAACUGCAUCUGUGACUGCAUCGCUGGAGUACGGUAGAGGGGGAUGGAAUUCCGCGUGUAACAGUGAAAUGCGUAGAUAUGCGGAGGAACACCGAUGGCGAAGGCAAUCCCCUGGACCUGUACUGACGCUCAUGCACGAAAGCGUGGGGAGCAAACAGG